rnacentral:rRNA from 1 species
UAAGGAAUAUUGGGCAAUGGAGGCAACUCUGACCCAGCCAUCCCGCGUGCAGGAUGACGGCGCUACGCGUUGUAAACUGCUUUUGUAUCAGAUGAAACACUGUCAUUUAUGAUGGUUUGACGUUAUGGUAAGAAUAAGCACCGGGUAACUCGGUGCCAGCAGCCGCGGUAAUACGGAGGGUGCAAGCGUUAUCCGGAAUUACUGGGUUUAAAGGGUGCGUAGGCGGCCUGAUAAGUCAGAGGUGAAAUCCCAUCGCUUAACGAUGGAACUGCCUUUGAUACUGUUAGGCUUGAAUUGGGUUGAGGUAAGCGGAAUGUGGCAUGUAGCGGUGAAAUGCAUAUAUAUGCCAUAGAACACCGAUUGUGAAGGCAGCUUACUGGACCUUUAUUGACGCUGAGGCACGAAAGCGUUGGGAGCGAACAGGAUUAGAUACCCGCGUAGUCC